UACGUAGGGUGCAAGCGUUGUCCGGAAUUAUUGGGCGUAAAGAGCUCGUAGGCGGUUUGUUGCGUCGGCUGUGAAAUCCCGAGGCUCAACCUCGGGUCUGCAGUCGAUACGAGCAAACUAGAGUGUUGCAGGGGAGACUGGAAUUCCUGGUGUAGCGGUGAAAUGCGCAGAUAUCAGGAAGAACACCCGUGGCGAAGGCGGUUCUCUAGUACGGUACUGACGCUGAGACGCGAAAGCGUGGGGAGCGAACAGG
rnacentral:rRNA from 1 species